GUUACUACCUGCUUCUAUAGCACAGAAUAAAACUGGAAUGAUACAAAGAAGAUUAGCAUGGCACGAGCACAAGGAUGACAUGCAAUUCCGUGAAGUGUUCUGUUGUUGA